rnacentral:misc_RNA from 1 species
GAAAUGCGAUAAGUAAUGUGAAUUCCAGAAUUCAGUGAAUCAUCGAAUCUUUGAACGCACCUUGCGCUCCUUGGUAUUCCUUGGAGCAUGCCUGUUUGAGUAUCAUGAAAUCUUCAAAGUAAAUCUUUUGUUAACUCAAUUGGUUUCUACUUUGGUAUUGGAGGUCUUUGCAGCUUCACACCUGCUCCUCUUUGUUCAUUAGCUGGAUCUCAGUGUUAUGCUUGGUUCCACUCGGCGUGAUAAGUUAUCUAUCGCUGAGGACACUGUAAAAGGUGGCCAAGGUAAAUGCAGAUGAACCGCUUCUAAUAGUCCAUUGACUUGGACAAUACUUUUAUGAUCUGAUCUCAAGUCAGGUAGGACUACCCGCUGAACUUAAGC